rnacentral:lncRNA from 1 species
AUAGAGAUAAAUGUCAUAAAACAUCAGAGUAUUUAUUACAUAGCGGAAGACUUAUUACAAAGUAAAAGAAUAAAUGUAAAACGAACUAAGGAUCGUCGGCGCCAAUGUCGACUGAGAAACGCCACCUAGAUCAAGUCGAAUGCCUCAGUGUUAGGCGGCUCCUCUUCGACCACCUGUUCUUCUCCUGUGGGGGGGUGUGACAACAAGAGUGAGCUCACAUACGUUCAUAGCUCAACAAGUCGUGGGGAAUAAUGUGGCAUGAACUCACCAAAGGUGGGAGUUCAUGAAGUGUAAGGCUGAUCAAUGAAAUAAAGGCUGAAGCUGAGCAUUGCUUUUAUAAGUUGGUCAAAAUUUUAUUAGCAAUUACUAAGUGUAAGUAAAUACCAAACCUUAAUAAUAAUAAAGAAAAGUAAUAGUAAAAUAAUCCCAAAUGCGAUGCAAAUGUCAAAUUAAAUUUAAGUUCCAUAAUUAAUCAUGUGAGGGUCCGAGCCGCUCAUGACCGUGAGCACGGCUAGUAUACUAGUUUUACACUCUGCAGAGGUUGCGCAUCUUUACCCACAAGUCAUGUUACCCAUCUGCCAAGAGACGGCCAAUCCCAUACACCUCUACCGAGGAGGCGAGGCAGGGUAACACUACGAGGCCUUUACAAAGUUCCACUAGCUUCAGAAAACCCGCUACAGUUUAUAGGAAGCUCCAAUGCAGGGUUCUUGCCUGACUGCCAUCGCAGCAAAAUCAACCAAGGACCUCCCUACACUGACCACUCCCCUACUGCCCUUGCCCCUUUCGGGUAAGGUAGACCUCCACUAGCUUUCCUAGUUAAUCAGCCAAGGGCGUCUCAUUAAACCCUUGUGGUAGCACUGUUUUCCCGGGUGGUCGCUCCAUGUUCCCAUUAAUUUAAUGAUCUUAACAUGAACAGUAUUAAUAACAAGAUAAUAACAGAAUAAUCAUGAAUAGUGUAUCUCCAUACCCAAUCCACAUAAAGCAAUAGCAAGUACUACCCAAAAAUAUUUCAGUGGUGAACAAGGUAUAAAGAUAACCAAAACUGGGGUAACCUAAAGGAUCCCAUCAAAAUUAACCUAUGCAGAUCAUUAAAAUUAAUAAGAACAUGGCUGGGAAAAGUAAGUGAUCAAGGGCACAACUUGCCUUCAAUGAGCUCCUGCUCAGCUAUCUCUACUUGUUGAACCUCAGAUUCCACAGUGGCUUGCUCGUCUACUCGCAUCAACAAAAUACAUACAUAGUAUAGCAUAAAUUAACAUCACAUCAAACAUGCAAAUAAAAUAUACAGUGAAAAUCUACACAUUAAAAUAAGAUCAUUAGAACUGGAAUCAUUAAAUUUGGGGUUAUAGAUUUCAAGUUAUGAAUUUCCUAAGAUUUAAUGUGCUUGAAAUAGGAUUAAAUGAUAAAUAAAUUUUCUAACUGUUUUCAUGUCAAAACAGAGUCACUAAAUGGUAGAGAAUAAAAUUACAAAAUUUUAGAAAUUGGAAUGGUUCGAUUUGGAGCUAAAAUGAAUUUUCUAUGCAUUUUACAAGUUUCUAGAAUUGUUUUUGUAUUAAAAAUGGAUUUCUAUAAUUAUUUCUCUGUUUUUAAUCUCCUCUGGACUGGGCCUCAAUUCCUGGAAAAUACAGGAUUCUCGGUGUAAGAUUUCUAAGACACAUAUGACCCACCAGGUGGAUUGCGGGUUGAAUCCGAAAGAACCCGGGGUCUCUUAUGCAAAUGAUGUGGACGAAGGGGUACGACGGUAUCUGGGUCGCACGAUUGCAAAUGAACGGUGUGGAUUAGGUCCAGAUUAACUUCGAACCGGCACCGCAUCGAGGCCGUCAGAUAUGGGAAUCACGGUUCGGAUUUAAUGACAUGAAGGGAUACGCCAAAUUUGAUCUAGGCCAUUCCCUGCACGAUCGACGGUUGAGGGCCAACUUUCCCCUAGAUCUAAUCUAAGCCGUCGAGUACGCGAUCAAUGGUCACGAUCUCACAAGCGAAAAGGGGUAUGCAGGGGUGAUCCUGGCCCCUGAUCCGUAAAUCCAUGGCUCAAAACCUCACACGCCUGCAUCUAAUCCUAACCGCAUGAUGGAUAUCCAACGGCCCCACGCAUCAUCUUCUUCUCCCCUGACGGGCCGGCCACGGCGGCACCCGAGUGCCCAAGGCGGAGGUUCGCCGGCGUGGGCUCUGCUCGUACCGUCCGACGCCCAAUCCUGAAUCAACCUAGUGCUAAACGAAGUAGAGACCACGACGAAUAGCUCUGGGCAUCACUUACCUGGGUUAGUGACGAUGGUAGCGCAGUUCACGCAGAGAUGCAAGCCACGACGAAGGGGGAAAGUCGUCGAGCAAUCGCCACCGAUUUACGGCCACAGGAGCUCAACGAGAACAGCAGAUACGAUCCACCAGAGAGUGCGAAGCUAUCUCCCCUACAAGUUCCACCGGAGCGACGGUGGUCCCUAGUUCACCCGCGGCGGUGCUCCGCCUUCUCUCUUCCCUCGGUUCACGGAGCUGACAGUGGAAUGGAGGGACGUGCUGCGCCCGAGCUGCCGGGAGAGUAUUUAUCCGUGGCGGACGAUCCAGAAGGUGGAGUCGCGGAAAACCCCAGGAGCCCGAGAUCUCCGCGGAGGUUGCAACGGCGGGUCAGUGGCCAUGGCGAAAGAAGCGGUCCGUUCGGCCACGACACAGCUGGGCGACAAGAUGACAGGUGGGACCCACAGGUAAGCCACGCGGGGAAAAAGGGAGAGCACGGCACCCAGGCUGACGCGCGCGGAGAGGCUGUCGCGAGGGUCCCGCGUGUCAGCGCGCGACUCCAACAGUGGGCACGGUUGAUGUAAAUGGGCCAGUCUGCUCACAUUGGGCCCAACACGAGGGGUUCUUUUCUUUUUCUUUUUCUUUUUCUUUUAUAUUUCUUUUUCCUUUUUUUUUCCUUUUUCAACUUCAAACUCCCUUCAAAUUUAAAUUUCCAUUCCUGUGAAAAUUUAUCCCCAAUUUUAUAUUAUGCUAUGAACAGUAUCAAUUUGGAGAUAUAUUUAUAUAUACAUUGUUUUUAUCUUAAGUCUUUAUACAUCUCCUCUUUUCUAACUUCUAUAAUUUCUUUAUCUUCUAAAUUUCCCCUUUGGGACUUUAUUAUUUUUCUAGCUACAUUCAUUAUUUUAUUUUGUCACAACGUGCACACAAAAGAAAAUCCCAGCAUGAUGCAUAUUUUAGUGGCAUAUAUUUUUGUUAAUUAUUUUGUGUUUAAAUAUGGUGUUCACAGGAUGACAAAUAGGUGAAAUUCACAUAAAUGAAUAAAGGGAGGCACUACUCUCCUUUUAUAUGAUCUUUUACAAUUUAGGUGUUACAAUAAAUUACUAACUAAAUUACAAACUAAAAAACAAGUUUGCUAACUAACUAGCAAGUUUUCUAACUAAAUAAUGUUAUCAACUAAAUUACUAACUCGGGGACGACGCAACAACGACCACGAUAGGGGGGAGACAGCGAGAGAAGACGCGUGAGAGGCAACGGUGUAUCGAGAGACGCGCUAGCGACCACUUCUUUUACUUCCAAGCUCGACGCAAGGAUUUGUGGCACCGAGCUCGACACCGUAAGUUACGACGCUGAGGUGUUUAAAAAUUAGAUUACAUCGUUUGAGGAUAAAACUUAAAAUUUUUAGAAAAAAAAAGAUUAAAAUGCAAAAGAAGGGCUACAUAGAAGGUAAGGCUAUCUUCAGACUAACUAUCUCACUCCUGGUUUUAAACUCCAUUCUACGAACAUACAAAACACCGUUUCCACGCACCGCUGGAGUUCGGAACAGCCUGUGCAGGCAGCAGGCCCUACCAAACCCUAGAGAAUACCUCGUCAAUCGAAAGCGUUGCCGUCGGAUAGUUUGAUCCACGUCCGCCGACAAGGAACCCCACCCCCACCGCACUCGACGACUUGACGACACAAGUCGAGGAGCCCGCGCCGGGAUCGGGUGCGAGGAGGAGAAACGAGUGCAGUGCAGUGUGGGAAUAAUAAGACGAGACUAACCGAGUCGAGAUCGACGAGGAGGAGUGGGAGGAGGCGCCGCCGCGGUCGGGAGACGGCUGCCAGCGGCGGAGGUGAAGGGGAGUCGCCGAGAACGAGCAGCGGAGUCUCCUUUGUAGCGGGCUUACCAUGGGUGCGGCCCAGUGUAGCCUUUCGUCUCUUCCUUGUGUAGAAGCCGAAUUUGUUGAAUCCGGAGACGGCCAGUUCCGUUCACUUUUGGAAGAUAAUAUAUGCGGACGGCCCAAGCCCAAUCCGGUGGUGAGAAAUAAUUCACAGCAUGCAUGUCAUAGUGGUCGUCGAUUUGCUAAUGUAUUUGCACUUCCCGCGCCGCUGGUUAUUCGCAGAAUGUUUAUAAAUUUUAUACUGUAGUAAAAUCUAGGACCAGUACCCAACCAUGACUGCAGGGAGAGAGAGAAAAAUAAAUCUCUUCUCUGUCAGGAAUUGCAAAAAAAAUCUUUUCCUUCACAUC